UAUUCCCGAGAGAGGAAAACACUCUUGGGAGAGAGAAACAUAACCCCAAUUGUUGCAAAAUGUCAUUCAACGAUGUAACAGUUCCAGAUGUGAGAGCUUAAGCAAUAAUACGGUUCCAAGUUGUACAAAUGGACAAAAAUAACCGUACAAGUGCAAGAUUAAAUUAGCGAGAGUCAAGCUUCAUCAGCAUUAUUAGGUACAGUAUGUCCAUUACUAAUUAAUUAGUUAAUUGUCAAUAUAUGCCCAAUGAAUAUUUAUAUAAAUUUUAUAAUAUUGACAAUAUUAAAGUCAUAUAAGCCUAUAUACAUAUGUGUAUCUUAACGUGUAUUAACCAGGCUUAUCAAUACACAGCAAUCUCCGCACUCAACAGAACAGUGAGCACUUCAUCCUAAUACAGAGGAUAACCUCCAAAAGGAUAACUCAUAACACAAGAUGCAAGUGUCUGUUGCCAAAUCAAUUGGGUUGUUGCCACAAUAUUGUCAACACUAUUAUACACUCAACAAGAAAAAGAGCGGAAGAGAACUUCAAGGUUGCGAGGGCUCCACAUAAGGUUGACGUAGACCACCAGCAAACCCCAGAGUCUCAGUACAUCCGCAGUAACAAUGUCUUCAGGAAGAAAAGUCUAGACGCCUCCGAAAAGCACCUCUGCAUUAGUUGACACAUAUAGAAGGCUUCAUUCACUUCCAAUCACAGGUUAUAGAAUAUCAAUGUCAAGGCAUGAUCACCUAUAUCAGUGUAUCUUAUGGACUGUAUCAAGAUGAUGUUUAUCGUAUAAAGUAAUGUUAUUAUCAGAUUUUAAUGGACACAAAGUAUAUAGUGCCAUAAUAAAUUGACACCCCAAUAUAAUAUCCAGUCGAACUGAAAAUUAUAAGGACUCAAAAACAAAAAGGAAAUAGUAUUUUAUAGGCAGCGGGUCACACAAUUCACUAUAAUUCAUAGUCUAUUGUCUUCCGCGGAUGUUUAGACACCAGAAUAUUUACAAUACUAAAUUAUUUGGAUUAUAGUUUCCAAACUUUAUUAAAGAUUGUGAAAAAAUAGAGUGCAAGAUGUCAAAAACAAUUCCAUAUCCAGCUAUAUCAUGCCAUAUGGCCGAGCAUUACGAAGACUCAAUAACACUGACAAAAUAGAAUUCUAUGGACAGUCUGAUCACGCACUUAACUACAAAGUAUUCAAUCAUCAAAAUGGAUGUGACUUGUUGAUUAGCUAGACACGAAUGUAAUAUAGUAUAUCUGAUGUCCUGUUAAUACCAAAUAUUGCAAAGGCAAAGUGAAUUGCCCAUAAAUAAUUAUGCAUGAAGUGCAUAGAAAACCAUUGAGCUGGUCAUUAUGAGAUUCAGAGUCAAUACUGGUGGGCAAUAGGAUCACGCCCUACAUAAGCACACAAAAGCACUUUCCGGUAUCAUCGGGGUAUAAAUUUUCACUAAUGAUGAAAAGGCGAUUAUUACAUCACUCAGAAGAAAGAAGGAAGUAACAAGGCACACAUGAUCCAUCCUACUAAUGUUAUAGCGAUAGACAAAAUCCCAGCUAAUUUACACAUUAUGUGUCGAAAAUAAUAUUAGGUUUUCACUUAUGUUAUUAUCAGAUUUUAGUGGACACAAAGUAUAUAGUGCCAUAAUAAAUUGACACCCCAAUAUAAUAUCCAGUCGAACUGAAAAUUGUAAGGACUCAAAAACAAAAAGGAAAUAGUAUUUUAUAGGCAGCGGAUCACACAAUUCACUAUAAUUCAUAGUCUAUUGUCUUCCGUGGAUGUUUAGACACCAGAAUAUUUACACUACUAAAUUAUUUGGAUUAUAGUUCCCAAACUUUAUUAAAGUUUGUGAAAAAUAGAGUGCAAGAUGUCAAAACAAAUUCCAUAUCCAGCUAUAUCAUGCCGUAGGGCCGAGCAUUACGAAGACUCACUGACAAAAUAGAAUUCUAUGAGCAGCCUGAUCACGCACUUAACUACAAAAAUUAUUCAAUCAUCAAAAUGGAUGUGACUUGUUGAUUAGCUAGACAUGAGUGUAAUAUAGUAUAUCUAAUGUCCUGUUAAUACUAAAUAUUGCAAGGCAAAGUGAAUUGCCCAUAAAUAAUUAUGCAUGAAGUGCAUAAAAACAUUGAGCUGAUCAUUAUGAGAUUCAGAGUCAAUAUUGGUGGGCAACAGGACUACGCCCUGCAUUAGCACACAAAAGCACUUUCCGGUAUCGUCGGGGUAUAAAUUCUCACUAAUGAUGAAAGGCGAUUAUUACGCCGCUCAGAAGAAAGAAGGAAGCAACAAGGCAUACAUGAUUCAUCCUACUAAUGUUAUAGCAAUAGACAAAAUCCCAGCGAUUUACGCAUUAUGCGUCGAAGAUAAUAUUAGGUUUUCACUUAAAUCACAUUUAUUAUAUAUUUAUCAUAUAUUAUUAAUUAAUUAGAUAAAACACUGUAAAUCAGCUAAAAGCUUUAUACUGUAUUUACUUUUAGUACGUUUAUAAGACUAUAAUGCACAGGUUAAUUUAUAUUACUAGUUUAUUAUAUGAUAAGUAUUCAAAAUUUAUUGAAUUAUAGUAUCUGCGAAACCAAA